UGGGGUGUGUGGUAUGAAAUGUGGAAUUGCAGGUGGUUUUAUUUUUAAAAUUGGGUUAUUUAUUCACCUGUCUAACACGCCUUUAGGCAGUGUACUAUAUACAACCACAUCAACAGUCAGAGCGUGUUUCAGUUGCUUGGUUGUGGUGUGAUGACUCUCCCCACGCGGCUUCAUUGUGAAAUUGCAGGUGGCAUUGAAAUUUUAAAAUUAGGUUGAUUGCUGUCUGCAAUCACAUCAACAGUGAGAGACAAUACAGAAAGGUCGCCCGGUACAGAAGGACCCCAGUCUUACCCCCCAGUCUCUGCUGCAGCGCCCUGGAGGUUUUUGUAGUCCUCGAGAACCCAGGGCUGUCCCUCGCCAGGUGCAUGUCGGUUUGUUCACCAGAAGAGAUUGUAAUCCCCGUGUGUGUGUCCAUUUUAAGACUGCUUGCUGCCAUCAUGUCCCUUUGUUGCACUCAAGCAUCAGAUCUGUUCUACAAACUUGCCAAGUAACACACUGUUGGGCCCAACUAUUCAGAGUGGUGUGUACGUUGCUGUCUGCAAUCACAUCAACAGUGAGAGACAAUACGGAAAGGUCGCCCGGUACAGAAGGACCCCAGUCUCUGCUGCAGCGCCUGGAGGUUUUUGUAGUCCUCGAGAACCCAGGGCUGUCCCUCGCCAGGUGCAUGUCGGUUUGUUCACCAGAAGAGAUUGUAAUCCCCGUGUGUGUGUCCAUUUUAAGACUGCUUGCUGCCAUCAUGUCCCUUUGUUGCACUCAAACAUCAAAUCUAUUCUGCAAACUUACCAUUUUUCACCUUUUUUUUUUUUUCCUUUUUCUUUUUUUCAAUAGUAUUAAUAAAUAUCAGUAAGUAGCACAAUGUUGGGCUCAACUAUUCGGAGUGGUAGAGACAACAACAUACACAAUCACAUCAACACUGAAAGACAAUACAGAAAGUUGCCCGGUAUAGAUGAAGCCCAGUCUUACCUCCCUGUCUCUGUUGCAGCACCUGGACCAGGUCUUUGUAGUCCGCGAGAACCCAGAGCCGGCCCUCAGCAGGUGCGCGUCACUUUCUUCACCGGCAGCGAUUGUAAUCCCUGUUUGUCUAGGGCCGCCUUCUCUGCCUCCUUCAACGUGUGGACCCGUGCCGGUCCGUGCGAUGCUGGUGACGGAUGCGUUGCUGGGAGCACCUGGACCAGGUCUUUGUAGUCCGCGAGAACCCAGAGCCGGCCCUCAGCAGGUGCGCGUCACUUUCUUCACCGGCAGCGAUUGUAAUCCCUGUUUGUCUAGGGCCGCCUUCUCUGCCUCCUUCAACGUGUGGACCCGUGCCGGUCCGUGCGAUGCUGGUGACGGAUGCGUUGCUGGGAGGUAUGUAAAAAGCCUUACGUAUGCGUGUGUUUGCCUAUAGGGUGUCUAGUUGUGGGGGAGAGGUGGCGCAACAGUUCCACCAGUCGUGGUGUGAUGGCGCCCCCUCGUGGCGUUAUUGUGGAAUUGCCGGUAGGGUUACACUGGUAAUAGUGGGUUAAUUCCUACACGUGUAAACAUGCUUUUUGGCAGUGUACUGUACACAAUCACAUCAACAUUCAGAGCAUGUUGUAAUUGCUUUGUCGUGGUGUGAUGGCGCCCCCUCGUGGAUUUAUUGUGGAAUUGCAGGUAAGGUUACACUGGUAAUAGUGGGUUAAUUCCUACACGUGUAAACAUGCUUUUUGGCAGUGUGCUGUACACAAUCACAUCAACAUUCAGAGCAUGUUGUAAUUGCUUUGUCGUGGUGUGAUGGCGCCCCCCUCGUGGCGUUAUUGUGGAAUUGCCGGUAGGGUUACACUUUUAAUACUGGGUUAAUUCCUACACGUGUAAACAUGCUUUUUGGCAGUGUACUGUACACAAUCACAUCAACAUUCAGAGCAUGUUGUAAUUGCUUUGUCGUGGUGUGAUGGCGCCCCCUCGUGGCUUUAUUGUGGAAUUGCAAAUUUACCAUUUUUCACAGUAUUAAUAAAUAUCAAUAUUUAACACA
rnacentral:lncRNA from 1 species